rnacentral:miRNA from 1 species
CGGUGAACCACAUCAAUUUUCU